GAUGAACGCUGGCGGCGUGUCUAAUACAUGCAAGUCGAGCGAACAGACGAGGAGCUUACUCCUCUGACGUUAGCGGCGGACGGGUGAGUAACACGUGGAUAACCUACCUAUAAGACUGGGAUAACUUCGGGAAACCGGAGCUAAUACCGGAUAACAUGUUGAACCGCAUGGUUCAACAGUGAAAGACGGUCUUGCUGUCACUUAUAGAUGGAUCCGCGUCGCAUUAGCUAGUUGGUAAGGUAACGGCUUACCAAGGCAACGAUGCGUAGCCGACCUGAGAGGGUGAUCGGCCACACUGGAACUGAGACACGGUCCAGACUCCUACGGGAGGCAGCAGUAGGGAAUCUUCCGCAAAGGGCGAAAGCCUGACGGAGCAACGCCGCGUGAGUGAAGAAGGUCUUCGGAUCGUAAAACUCUGUUAUUAGGGAAGAACAAAUGUGUAAGUAACUAUGCACGUCUUGACGGUACCUAAUCAGAAAGCCACGGCUAACUACGUG
rnacentral:rRNA from 1 species